CCUAACCUCAAGCCGUCUGCCAGGCGUGGCCUCCUAAAGUGCUGGGAUUACAGGCAUCCGUCUCCGCGUUCUGCAGCACAGCUGAGAUUUGCAUGAGUCUCCAGGUGGCUUCUCAGGGUUGGCAGAACUGAGCACAGGAAAGGAGCACUUUACAUGGCAGCAGAAGGAGGUCAGCGCUCCCCCCACUUCUCCAGCGCCGCGUGCGGAGAGACAAAGAAAUUGAUUUUCCAAUCGAUGCUCUGAGCAAUGAUUAAAUGUUCUCUGCACAGCGGGCCUAAUGAGUCCCCAAGGGGCGUGCCGGCCCUUUAAUUAGAGACUCCCACGGGGGCCUGGGAUGGGGGCUGCCCUGGAGUGAGGGGGUCCAGCCAGGGAGGAGGCCCCAUCCCCAGGAAUCGGUGGCCUGGGCCUCUGAGAGAUACUGUUUGGGGGCCCCUGGGCAUAGAGACCCAGCGGAGGGGUCCCUAGGCAGCGGAACCCCAUAGAGUAGCUCCCGGGCUGAGAGGUCCCUUGGAGAGGCCCCUGAGCUGAGCCCUAGAGGAAGAACCUGGGCUACAAGGAUGGAGGCUGGAGGCCCCCGAGUGAAUGCACAGAUUUACCCACCAUCCAGGCAGCCAGCAGUCCUUUCCGUCAGUUCAGCUCCCCCAUCUGCGGCGGCGGCGGCGGAGACCCAGACAGGAAAUGAAUCCCCUCUAAGCGGCUGCUGCGUUCUCCUCACCCAGCUGCCCCAUUGGAGAAGCCGACUGAAGACUUUAGAAAUUCAAAUGAGGCUCUCGGGGGAGAGCGAGUCUUAAACAUUCCCCCUGCGCAGGCGGCUUUAUUGAAGGAAUAAACUAUAUUUGCAAAGUAA